rnacentral:rRNA from 1 species
CCUACGGGUGGCUGCAGUGAGGAAUAUUGGUCAAUGGGCGAGAGCCUGAACCAGCCAAGUCGCGUGAAGGAUGAAGGAUCUAUGGUUUGUAAACUUCUUUUAUAUGGGAAUAAAGUGAGGAACGUGUUCCUUUUUGUAUGUACCAUAUGAAUAAGCAUCGGCUAACUCCGUGCCAGCAGCCGCGGUAAUACGGAGGAUGCGAGCGUUAUCCGGAUUUAUUGGGUUUAAGGGGUGCGUAGGUGGUUAAUUAAGUCAGCGGUGAAAGUUUGUGGCUCAACCAUAAAAUUGCCGUUGAAACUGGUUGACUUGAGUAUAUUUGAGGUAGGCGGAAUGCGUGGUGUAGCGGUGAAAUGCAUAGAUAUCAGGAGGAACACCGGUGGCGAAGGCGGCCUGCUGGACUGCAACUGACGUUGAGGCCCGAAAGCGUGGGGAGCAAACAGGAUUAGAUACCCCUGUAGUC